AUUUUGUACAAUGGGGGAAACCCUGAUCCAGCCAUCCCGCGUGUAUGAUGAAGGCCUUCGGGUUGUAAAGUACUUUUGGCAGGACAGAAAAGGUAUCUCAUAAAACGAGAUACUGCUGACGGUAUCUGCAGACAAAGCACCGGCCAACUACAUGACAGCAGCCGCGGUAAUACGUAGGGUGCAAGCGUUAAUCGGAAUUACUGGGCGUAAAGCGUGUGUAGGCGGUUCGGAAAGAAAGAUGUGAAAUCCCAGGGCUCAACCUUGGAACUGCAUUUUUAACUGCCGAGCUAGAGUAUGUCAGAGGGGGGUAGAAUUCCACGUGUAGCAGUGAAAUGCGUAGAUAUGUGGAGGAAUACCGAUGGCGAAGGCAGCCCCCUGGGAUAAUACUGACGCUCAGACACGAAAGCGUGGGGAGCAAACAGG
rnacentral:rRNA from 1 species